rnacentral:rRNA from 1 species
CGUGAGCAACCUACUGAACUGUGGGGGAUAGCCGGCCUAACGGCCGAGUAAUACCGCAUACGCUCUCAGAGAGGCAUUUCAUUGAGAGGAAACCUACGGGACAGAUCGAGGGGCUCGCGGCCUAUCAGCUAGUUGGCGAGGUAACGGCUCACCAAGGCAACGACGGGUAGCUGGUCUGAGAGGAUGGCCAGCCACAUUGGGACUGAGAUACGGCCCAA